GAGGAAAAAUCAUACCCAUGUAACAAGUCUUCAUUGACCUUACCAAUGCUUUUGAUGCUAUUAGACUUCCAGCUCUGUGAAAACCGUUGGCACUAUUUCCGAACUCCUGGAUGUCCAGAAAAGUUUGUGAAAUUAUCCGUCAUCUGCACAAUGGUGUGCUGGAUAGAGGCUGCGGCUGGCACUCUGUUGGAUCCAUUUGUAAUAGCAAAAGGAGUCAAGCAAAGCUUUCUCCAUCCUUGUGUCUCUGCAGUUCAGUGACCUCAACACGGGAGGAGAAAUGUGUGUGUCCCAGAAGCCCCACAUGUUGGUCAAGCCAGCUGAGAAGCAGCAGAGGCACAGGAAGUUUUAUGUCUGGCACUGAACAUGAGAAGAUAGCAACCCCGCCACAGAGCAAAGAAGACUCAUCAAGAUUCAUUUCAAGGUGUUCCAUGUCUCUGUGUUUUGAGGACUAAAACCAUCGAAGCAGCUAAACAGUUAUGUCAGUACUGCUUACACUGAACCGUUUUUACAUGAGCAAGCUAUCAGCUUUUUGUAUAAAAGGCCUGAAUCACCGAACAUCUCAUUUUUAGCAGCACUGCUAACAAUAAAAGUAACACUUCAUUAUCUUUGUAGAUAGUC
rnacentral:lncRNA from 1 species